UCAAGAAAAGAAAACCCUUUUUGGCAUUGCACUCCGGUAACUACUAUAAUACAUGAUUAUCAAGAAACAAGAAUCUUAUAUCUAUGAUGAGCAAUAGACUAUUACUUGAACCACCAUAAAGGAAAGAAAGAAAAAGAGAAAGAAAGAAGAAGAUGAAGAAGAAGUAAUUGGAAGACACAAAUAAGACAAUGAAGUGGGUCAAAGAGAUGGGAACACAUGGAUGAAUCUAGUUACUGGAAUUGGCCCUAUAAGAGCUAUAAAGUGGUGGUGAAUGGAAAGAUGGUCCAGGAUUGCAAAUACCAGCACACCAUUUGCAUUCUCUUUUUUUCUUUUUAAGCCUUAUUUGAGUCCAUUAGCUUUUGCUAGAAUAUGCUACUGCCAUUGCUACCAAAGUUUGGCACAUUAUUUGAUGCAUUUGCUUGUCCUAGAAUAUUGCCAUUGCUACUAACCUUUGGCACAUUAUUUGAUGCAUUCUUUUUAUUAUAUCUGUUCCUUUUUUGUAAAGGAAGAUAAAAUGAUUGUACCCAAGAUCAGAUUUUCUUCUCCUUUUUCUUUGAAGAAAACAUUUUUGUUCA